rnacentral:rRNA from 1 species
UACGAAGGGGGCUAGCGUUGCUCGGAAUCACUGGGCGUAAAGGGUGCGUAGGCGGGUCUUUAAGUCAGGGGUGAAAUCCUGGAGCUCAACUCCAGAACUGCCUUUGAUACUGAAGAUCUUGAGUUUGGGAGAGGUAUGCGGAACUCCGAGUGUAGAGGUGAAAUUCGUAGAUAUUCGGAAGAACACCAGUGGCGAAAGGCGGCAUACUGGCCCAAUACUGACGCUGAGGCGCGAAAGCUGGGGAGC